rnacentral:rRNA from 1 species
GCAUGCAUACAAGCAGUGGGAGCCGGCUUAGUCCGGUGACUGCGUACCUUUUGUAUAAUGGGUCAGCGACUUAUAUUCAGUAGCAAGGUUAACCGAAUAGGGGAGCCGUAGGGAAACCGAGUCUUAAUAGGGCGUUUAGUUGCUGGGUAUAGACCCGAAACCAGGUGAUCUAUCCAUGAGCAGGUUGAAGGUUGGGUAACACUAACUGGAGGACCGAACCCACUGUCGUUGAAAAGCCAGGGGAUGACUUGUGGAUAGGGGUGAAAGGCUAAUCAAACUUGGUGAUAGCUGGUUCUCCCCGAAAGCUAUUUAGGUAGCGCCUCGGACGAAUACCAUUGGGGGUAGAGCACUGUUUCGGCUAGGGGGUCAUCCCGACUUACCAAACCGAUGCAAACUCCGAAUACCAAUGAGUACUAUCCGGGAGACAGACUGCGGGUGCUAACGUCCGUAGUCAAGAGGAAAACAAUCCAGACCGCCAGCUAAGGCCCCAAAAUUAUAGUUAAGUGGGAAACGAUGUGGGAAGGCAUAGACAGCUAGGAGGUUGGCUUAGAAGCAGCCACCC